CCGACUUGCUAUUGGUUCCUCCAACCAUCACCUCGGAUGACCAGGAAGUUAGCCCUGCUCAUAUGAUCCCUGAGCACAUAAAAAGAGAUAUCCUGGAAGGUAAAGACGUCAACCUAGCUUGCCUGCUGAUUGCCUCCCAGGAUAUUGUGGAAAAUAGGACUUAUGCUUAUGAUGAUGUGUCUGUUGUUGUCAGAUCUAGAGACGCCCGCUUAAACAGGAAACUGACUAUCCCCGAGUUUGUACUGGCCUUUGGUAUUUACUGGGAUGUCAUCUGUGCGGUCUAUCCCAAUAGAAGAGAGGAGUUUGAUCUUUAUAUGCACAAGCUGAUAGACCUGGGCAAUAAAUAUGGUGGUUCAGCCUUUUAUGACUACCAUAGGUCUUUUUCUGCAAAAUUGUCUGGAGCGUUCUCCCAGUAUGGAACAAGAUCCUACUGGGGAAGGAUAGAUACCGUCAUAUUUUGCAGACACUUUGCAGGUCUGAG